AAGCGCUUGCAACCAGACUUGCGCGCGGCGGUUCCCCCUUCCGUUUGGUUGGGUUAUUCCGUCGUGUCCAGGCCAACAUCGGUUCUGGGGGUCGGUUAAAGGCUCAGGGAAUGUAUCUACUUUCGGGUCGACUUAUAGCCUAGAGUGUAAUGUGACCUAUUUGGACUGAGGAACGCGCUUUUUGCUCGGAUGUUGGCGUAAUGGUUGUAAGCG
rnacentral:rRNA from 1 species